rnacentral:tRNA from 1 species
GCGUGGGUAGCUCAGCGGUAGAGCAGUUGGCUUUUAACCAAUUGGUCCUGGGUUCGAUCCCCAGCCCACGCA